GAUGAAGAACGCAGCGAAAUGCGAUAAGUAAUGUGAAUUGCAGAAUUCAGUGAAUCAUCGAAUCUUUGAACGCACAUUGCGCCCGCCAGUAUUCUGGCGGGCAUGCCUGUUCGAGCGUCAUUUCAACCCUCAAGACCCCUUCGGGGGACUUGGUGUUGGGGACCGGCUGUUCCCGGCCUGCUUCUUGCAGCGCCUUUAUGCCGCCCCCGAAAUGAAUUGGCGGCCUCGUCGCGGCCUCCCCUGCGUAGUAGCACAACCUCGCAACGGGAACGUGACGGCGGCCACUGCCGUAAAACAACCCCAAUUUUAUUAGAGUUGACCUCGAAUCAGGUAGGAAUACCCGCUGAACUUAAGCAUAUCAAUAAGCGGAGGA
rnacentral:misc_RNA from 1 species